rnacentral:lncRNA from 1 species
AUGGUAAAAAAUGUACAAGGUUUUUCUUUAUCUUCCACUUCUGUAGAGAUGGUGACAGUGGAGCCACCACAAGAUUAUGAUAAUGAUGAUGUCAUCAACAUGGGACACGACCUGAUUGAUCUGAUUGAAGGGAUGGAGAAUGAAGACCCUCCAGAAUAUGAUGAUGUCAUCAGUGCAGAGAAGAACUCUGGGAGUCUGACUGGUCAGUCAAUUCUAAAUAUGUUGCCUGGGACGAUAGAAAAAAACGAAACCUUCAAAGUGACUUGCAAAGUUCAUAGACUCACUAGGUUCAGUUGUUCAGCAUCAUGACGGGCACCUACAAGAAAACCAUCGUAGUAUACUUUAAGUGUGUUUUAGUUAACUACACAACUGAAACUUUCAAAAUCCUGUUUCGUUACAAUGAUACCUAUAAGCACAAGCCCAAAAAAGAUUAAUGCCAUAAAAAUUUCUUAAAUUUUCCAUUAUUAUUGAAUGUAUUAUUAUAUUUAUUUGUAUAAUUUCUCCUCUCCAGGUCCUUCAGGAUUGGACUAUGAUGAUGUAGGGGUAGGACCUCAAGAAAAAGAGGCUGUCUGAGUCGUCCGCUUUUAUUAGAUUUCACUUUUAAAUAAUAGCAAGUGCUAUGUUUUUUAUCUGUAAGCAACAUAUUUUAACAAAUACAAUGUUACUGCAAAUAUGUACAGGUAAUUAUUUUACUUGACCAGUAAAUAAUUCAUAACUUGUCUCUAGGUGAGCACAGUAGCAUCACUGGCAAUUCUGUCUCAUUUCCAGUCAUACAACAUUUUUAUUACUAUCAUUUCUGACAAAUGAUCCAUUCUAAUCUACAUAGGUUCACUUGAUAACUGAAAUCUGGGUACUGAGCAUGGAAUAAGAACACAGACGACUCAGAACUGGUUUAUUUGAAUAAUCAAAUUUGAAAAAAUGAAUGCUGAUAGGUCUCAUCUUUUUCUAGACAAUGCUUGUGGUUGUGACUUAAAAGGGCAGUUUCUUUAUCUGAAAGAUGUAACUUAAUGCAGAACCACUUGCUUGUCAAAAAUGCAUAUUUUUCUGUGGCACUUCACUCAGACAACAAGCGUGUGCCAAUUCAUAUAAAACAUGUUACGAAUCACUUUUACCAAAUAAACUAAAAAAAAAAAAAAAAAGUUUCA